UUUUCUAUUGGCUGUUCGGAACAUUUUGAAUCAUCAAAAUCGGAUCUCGAUCAAGAGAGAUAUGCUUAAAAUACUCAGACAUGCCAGAUCUGUCAUUUGUGGUCAUUUUUCAAGACUUUGAGUCCCGUUUCGGACCUGAUAUUGUCCGAAUUUGAUAAAAUGGAAAAUACGAAAGUUGUAGAACUUUUUGUUGGCUGUUCACAGCAUGUUGAAGCGUUGAAAUUGGAUCUCGAAUGAGAGAGAUACAAGCAAAUUACCCAGACAUGACAUAUUUGUCAUUUGUGGACAUUUUUCAAGUCCACAAAAUAUUGAAAUGAGAAAAUUGAUAAUUGAUCAUAAUCAAUUUAUGGCUUGAAGCCUAGAUCACAUUUUGAGACUAUAAGUCUCAAUAGAAUAUGAUAGACUCAAAGUUUAUGCGAUAAUAAUACUCAAACUUAAGAUUUGAGUUGAUAUGUAUUUCUCAUUCAUAGUACUUUAAGUCUAAAUGAUAAGACUCUUGAACAAUUGAGUUAGAGGGUAUUCCCC
rnacentral:lncRNA from 1 species